UAUUAUCACUGAAUUAUCUUUCCACUGGGAAGUGGGAGAGCUUGGUUAGGUGGACUGGGAAGACUUUUGCUCCACUAAGAGACCACAGCCAGAGAAGUAUGAAGGCCCUGAUCUUAGACUUUCUGGCUUAACGACUCAUUUUCCUAGCUGAGUCGCAUAGCAAACAGUCCAGAUUGGGGUUGCGAUACUUAAAUGAAACAGGACAGAGAUACGUCGACCACAGCGUGAAUAAAAGGCAAUGAUGGCUGUCGUCAUGAACGAACAAAGUGGGCUUUGUACAUUUGCUGCUGCCAUUUGUGGCGGAGAAGAACUUUCUCAGAUUGCUUUGGAAUGAUGAAGAGUGCGUCUCUCAUCCAAGAACUGAAAUGAUACGUUCAGGUUCUGUGUAGAUGCUGAGAAGAGGAGAACAUCCUGAGGCCAGUAGAGAAGGCAUCCUCAAGGAGAGGACUCAAGCUGGCAGUUGAAAGAUUGGGCAAAGACUUAC